rnacentral:rRNA from 1 species
CUAUGCGCCUUGCCAGCCCGCUCAGGUGUGCCAGCAGCCGCGGUAAUACGUAGGUGGCAAGCGUUGUCCGGAUUUACUGGGUGUAAAGGGCGUGUAGCCGGGCCGGCAAGUCAGAUGUGAAAUCCCAAGGCUCAACCUUGGAACUGCAUUUGAAACUGUUGGUCUUGAGUAUCGGAGAGGCAGGCGGAAUUCCUAGUGUAGCGGUGAAAUGCGUAGAUAUUAGGAGGAACACCAGUGGCGAAGGCGGCCUGCUGGACGACAACUGACGGUGAGGCGCGAAAGCGUGGGAGCAAACAGG